rnacentral:rRNA from 1 species
UACGUAGGGGGCAAGCGUUAUCCGGAUUUACUGGGUGUAAAGGGUGCGUAGGUGGCAAUGCAAGUCAGAUGUGAAAUUUCGGGGCUCAACCCCGAAGCUGCAUCUGAAACUGCGUAGCUAGAGUGCAGGAGAGGAAAGCGGAAUUCCGAGUGUAGCGGUGAAAUGCGUAGAGAUUCGGAGGAACACCAGUAGCGAAGGCGGCUUUCUGGACUGUAACUGACACUGAGGCACGAAAGCGUGGGGAGCGAAC